UCAAAUUACACUGGAGGAAGCGAUGGAC
rnacentral:sRNA from 1 species